UACGAAGGGGGCUAGCGUUGCUCGGAAUCACUGGGCGUAAAGGGUGCGUAGGCGGGUCUUUAAGUCAGGGGUGAAAUCCUGGAGCUCAACUCCAGAACUGCAUUUGAUACUGAGGAUCUUGAGUUCGGGAGAGGUGAGUGGAACUGCGAGUGUAGAGGUGAAAUUCGUAGAUAUUCGCAAGAACACCAGUGGCGAAGGCGGCUCACUGGCCCGAUACUGACGCUGAGGCACGAAAGCGUGGGGAGCAAACAGG
rnacentral:rRNA from 1 species